rnacentral:rRNA from 1 species
CUUGGCGGCCUUAGCGCGGUGGUCCCACCUGACCCCAUGCCGAACUCAGAAGUGAAACGCCGUAGCGCCGAUGGUAGUGUGGGGUCU